rnacentral:rRNA from 1 species
CCAGCGACGCCGCGUGAGGGAUGACGGCCUUCGGGUUGUAACCUCUUUCAGUAGGGAAGAAGCGAAAGUGACGGUACCUGCAGAAGAAGCACCGGCUAACUACGUGCCAGCAGCCGCGGUAAUACGUAGGGUGCGAGCGUUAUCCGGAAUUAUUGGGCGUAAAGAGCUCGUAGGCGGUUUGUCGCGUCUGUCGUGAAAGUCCGGGGCUUAACCCCGGAUCUGCGGUGGGUACGGGCAGACUAGAGUGCAGUAGGGGAGACUGGAAUUCCUGGUGUAGCGGUGGAAUGCGCAGAUAUCAGGAGGAACACCGAUGGCGAAGGCAGGUCUCUGGGCUGUAACUGACGCUGAGGAGCGAAAGCAUGGGGAGCGAACAGGAUUAGAUACCCCGGUAGAG